rnacentral:lncRNA from 1 species
UCUAUUUGAAAUCAAACUAAACAAGAAGACCUCCCAAGAUGCAGUUGAAUUUUAUCUUGGUAACAAUGUUCCUAUUCUUCAGCUCAACAUUGGCUAAAAUGUAUCUUGUGGAAACUGCAGAUGAGAACGCAGCACCUGAAUUAUAUGAGAAAGUAAAGAAUACUAAGGUUGGAAAUGUUGGGGGAGAUGAUUAUUGGUGGAAUAGAGCCCCUGGGGGUUUAAAAUUUGGCCGGAAAUAGAAAAUGGAAAUUAAUGUUAUAUUUCCUUUCUUUUUUUUACUUACAGAAUAAAGCGUUAAAAUCUUUCA